ACAGGGAUUGCCCUAGUAACGGCGAGUGAAGCGGCAACAGCUCAAAUUUGAAAUCUGGCUCUUUCAGAGUCCGAGUUGUAAUUUGCAGAGGGCGCUUUGGCGUUGGCAGCGGUCCAAGUUCCUUGGAACAGGACGUCACAGAGGGUGAGAAUCCCGUACGUGGUCGCUGGCCUUCGCCGUGUAAAGCCCCUUCGACGAGUCGAGUUGUUUGGGAAUGCAGCUCUAAAUGGGAGGUAAAUUUCUUCUAAAGCUAAAUACUGGCCAGAGACCGAUAGCGCACAAGUAGAGUGAUCGAAAGAUGAAAAGCACUUUGGAAAGAGAGUCAAAUAGCACGUGAAAUUGUUGAAAGGGAAGCGCUUGCAGCCAGACUUGCCUGUAGUUGCUCAUCCGGGCUUUUGCCCGGUGCACUCUUCUGCGGGCAGGCCAGCAUCAGUUUGGGCGGUUGGAUAAAGGUCUCUGUCAUGUACCUCUCUUCGGGGAGGCCUUAUAGGGGAGACGUCAUGCAACCAGCCUGGACUGAGGUCCGCGCAUUUGCUAGGAUGCUGGCGUAAUGGCUGUAAGCGGCCCGUCUUGAAACACGGACCAAGGAGUCUAACAUCUAUGCGAGUGUUUGGGUGUCAAGCCCGAACGCGUAAUGAAAGUGAACGGAGGUGGGACCCCAUUAGGGUGCACCAUCGACCGAUCCUGAUGUCUUCGGAUGGAUUUGAGUAAGAGCAUGGCUGUUGGGACCCGAAAGAUGGUGAACUAUGCUUGAAUAGGGUGAAGCCAGAGGAAACUCUGGUGGAGGCUCGCAGCGGUUCUGACGUGCAAAUCGAUCGUCAAAUUUGGGCAUAGGGGCGAAAGACUAA
rnacentral:rRNA from 3 species